rnacentral:rRNA from 1 species
CAGCCGCCGCGGGAAUACGAAGGGGGCUAGCGUUACUCGGAAUUACUGGGCGUAAAGGGCGCGUAGGCGGCGCUCCAAGUUAGGCGUGAAAGUCCUGGGCUCAACCUGGGAACUGCGCUUAAGACUGGAGUGCUUGAGGAUGGAAGAGGGUUGUGGAAUUCCCAGUGUAGAGGUGAAAUUCGUAGAUAUUGGGAAGAACACCGGUGGCGAAGGCGGCAACCUGGUCCAUUACUGACGCUGAGGCGCGACAGCGUGGGGAGCAAACAGGAUUAGAUACCCCCGUAGUCCCUGUCUCUUAUAC